rnacentral:rRNA from 1 species
AUUGAACGCUGGCGGCAGGCCUAACACAUGCAAGUCGAGCGGAUGAAGGGAGCUUGCUCCUGGAUUCAGCGGCGGACGGGUGAGUAAUGCCUAGGAAUCUGCCUGGUAGUGGGGGAUAACGUCCGGAAACGGGCGCUAAUACCGCAUACGUCCUUAGGGAGAAAGUGGGGGAUCUUCGGACCUCACGCUAUCACAUGAGCCUAGGUCGGAUUAGCUAGUUGGUGGGGUAAAGGCCUACCAAGGCGACGAUCCGUAACUGGUCUGAGAGGAUGAUCAGUCACACUGGAACUGAGACACGGUCCAGACUCCUACGGGAGGCAGCAGUGGGGAAUAUUGGACAAUGGGCGAAAGCCUGAUCCAGCCAUGCCGCGUGUGUGAAGAAGGUCUUCGGAUUGUAAAGCACUUUAAGUGGGGAGGAAGGGCAGUAAGUUAAUACCUUGCUGUUUUGACGUUACCAACAGAAUAAGCACCGGCUAACUUCGUG